ACCGAUACGCAUGACUAUGACGUCAAGAUGCGCAACGUGUUCAAGUUCCUGGAAAAUGGCGACAAGGUCAAAGUGACGUUGCGGUUCCGGGGGCGUGAAAUGGCGCACCAAAACCUUGGUCGCGAAUUGCUUGAGCGGGUCGCGGAAGAUACCAAGGAAAUCGGCAAGGUUGAAAACAUGCCGAAGAUGGAAGGCCGCCAGAUGGUCAUGAUGAUUGGCCCCGUGUCUAAGUAAUUGGCCAAGCACCUGGUCUGAUAAAGAAAAACGCCUCGCAUCAGCGAGGCGUUUUGCGUUUCAAAUCCGUGGCAGUAGCGCGCGGU
rnacentral:misc_RNA from 1 species